rnacentral:rRNA from 1 species
AGAGUUUGAUCCUGGCUCAGAUUGAACGCUGGCGGCAGGCUUAACACAUGCAAGUCGAGCGGAGUGAUUGUGCUUGCACAAUCACUUAGCGGCGGACGGGUGAGUAAUGCUUAGGAAUCUGCCAUUUAGUGGGGGACAACAUUCCGAAAGGAAUGCUAAUACCGCAUACGUCCUACGGGAGAAAGCAGGGGAUCUUCGGACCUUGCGCUAAAUGAUGAGCCUAAGUCGGAUUAGCUAGUUGGUGGGGUAAAGGCCUACCAAGGCGACGAUCUGUAGCGGGUCUGAGAGGAUGAUCCGCCACACUGGGACUGAGACACGGCCCAGACUCCUACGGGAGGCAGCAGUGGGGAAUAUUGGACAAUGGGCGGAAGCCUGAUCCAGCCAUGCCGCGUGUGUGAAGAAGGCCUUUUGGUUGUAAAGCACUUUAAGCGAGGAGGAGGCUACCUAGAUUAAUACUCUAGGAUAGUGGACGUUACUCGCAGAAUAAGCACCGGCUAACUCUGUGCCAGCAG